UACAGAGGGGGCGAGCGUUGUUCGGAAUUACUGGGCGUAAAGGGUGCGUAGGCGGCUAUCCAAGUCAGACGUGAAAGGCCUGGGCUCAACCCGGGAACUGCGUUUGAGACUGGGUGGCUGGAGUCCGGGAGAGGUGAGCGGAAUUCCCAGUGUAGAGGUGAAAUUCGUAGAUAUUGGGAAGAACACCGGUGGCGAAGGCGGCUCACUGGACCGGUACUGACGCUGAGGCACGAAAGCGUGGGGAGCAAACGGG
rnacentral:rRNA from 1 species